CAGGUAGUUGGUGAGGUAACGGCCCACCAAGCCUACGACGGGUAGCCGGCCUGAGAGGGUGACCGGCCACACUGGGACUGAGACACGGCCCAGACUCCUACGGGAGGCAGCAGUGGGGAAUAUUGCACAAUGGGCGCAAGCCUGAUGCAGCAACGCCGCGUGAGGGAUGACGGCCUUCGGGUUGUAAACCUCUUUUAGUAGGGAAGAAGCGAAAGUGACGGUACCUGCAGAAAAAGCACCGGCUAACUACGUGCCAGCAGCCGCGGUAAUACGUAGGGUGCGAGCGUUGUCCGGAAUUAUUGGGCGUAAAGAGCUCGUAGGCGGUCUGUCGCGUCUGCUGUGAAAACCCGAGGCUCAACCUCGGGCCUGCAGUGGGUACGGGCAGACUAGAGUGCGGUAGGGGAGAAUGGAAUUCCUGGUGUAGCGGUGGAAUGCGCAGAUAUCAGGAGGAACACCGAUGGCGAAGGCAGUUCUCUGGGCCGUAACUGACGCUGAGGAGCGAAAGCGUGGGGAGCGAACAGGAUUAGAUACCCUGGUAGUCCACGCCGU
rnacentral:rRNA from 1 species